UCUGGCCUGUAUGGGAGAGCCUUCAUAGGCUUGAAGUUCGGCGAGAUGGGCCCGUAGCUCAGUUGGUUAGAGCACACGCUUGAUAAGCGUGGGGUCGGAAGUUCAAGUCUUCCCGGGCCCACCAUUUGCACCAGCAAAUGAGGUUUGCUGUAGCGAAUUGUGGUUUGUUUGGGUUACCUGAUCCUGACGGUUUGCUGUCAGGUGUUUGCGAUGGUUGGGGCUGUAGCUCAGCUGGGAGAGCACCUGCUUUGCAAGCAGGGGGUCAGCGGUUCGAUCCCGCUCAGCUCCACCAAUUCGCUUGGUGUCGAGACUGAGAGAUAUCCUUUGAAGAAAAUAAAAGUUUGCAUCGGCUUUUGAGCCUGAUGCCUGUUCUGCAUACAUUGUGAAGAGAAGAUUGAUCUGGAGGCUUCCAGGUGUUUUGGACUUAUGUCCGGAACGUCCGAGCCCAGUUCCUGUGAACCCAUGGAUGGCCUAGCCGGCCGGAUGUGGUGGAGGGAUUGGAGGGUGGAAGGAAGCUUGUCGCUCUGGAUCGUUUGUUGUUCGUUGCCUUCGGGCUUCGUCUGAUAAGCGAUCGGAUUACCGUUGCCUGACCGCGCGGUAUCGGAUCCAAUCUCGAGAAGCUGGUCUUAAGACAGGCUGCAAGUGGGCUGCUCGGCGUAGCUCCAAUAAAGCAGACCUGUCGAACACGUCGAUGGCAUUGUUGGAUUGGCUGGGUUGUAAAAGGUAACCCGGUCUGUUGCCGUUCCUUUGGGGCGAUAGCGAGAUGAUGAGCAUUGGCAAUGAGAACGAUUAAGUGUCGUAAGGGCAUUUGGUGGAUGCCUUGGCAUGCACAGGCGAUGAAGGACGUGAUACGCUGCGAAAAGCCGU
rnacentral:tRNA from 1 species